GACGAACGCUGGCGGCGUGCUUAACACAUGCAAGUCGAGCGGCAAGGCCCUGCUUUUGUGGUGUGCUCGAGUGGCGAACGGGUGAGUAACACGUGAGUAACCUGCCCUUGACUUUGGGAUAACUUCAGGAAACUGGGGCUAAUACCGGAUAGGAGCUCCCGCUGCAUGGUGGGGGUUGGAAAGUUGCGGCGGUUGGGGAUGGACUCGCGGCUUAUCAGCUUGUUGGUGGGGUAGUGGCUUACCAAGGCUUUGACGGGUAGCCGGCCUGAGAGGGUGACCGGCCACAUUGGGACUGCGAGACGGCGCAGACUCGUACGGGAGGCAGAAGUGGGAAAUAUUGCACAAUGGGCGGAAGCCUGAUGCAGCAACGCCGCGGGCGGGAUGACGGCCUUCUGGUUGUAAACCGCUGUCGCCUGUGACGAAGCGGGAGUGACGGUAAUGGGUAAAGAAGCACCGGCUAACUACGUG
rnacentral:rRNA from 1 species